rnacentral:rRNA from 1 species
GGGUGAGUAACACGUAUGCAACCUGCCCCUGUCAGGGGGACAACCCGCCGAAAGGCGGGCUAAACCCGCGUACAUGCCACCGGGGCAUCCCGGAGGCAGGAAAGGCUUCGGCCGGACAGGGAUGGGCAUGCGGCGCAUUAGGCAGUAGGCGGGGUAACGGCCCACCUAACCGACGAUGCGUAGGGGUUCUGAGAGGAGGGUCCCCCACACUGGUACUGAGACACGGACCAGACUCCUGCGGGAGGCAGCAGUGAGGAAUAUUGGUCAAUGGUCGGGAGACUGAACCAGCCAAGCCGCGUGAGGGAGGAAGGUACAGAGUAUCGUAAAGCUCUUUUGUCAGGGAACAAAGACUGGGACGCGUCCCCGGAUGAGUGUACCUGAAGAAAAAGCAUCGGCUAACUCCGUGCCAGCAGCCGCGGUAAUACGGAGGAUGCGAGCGUUAUCCGGAUUUAUUGGGUUUAAAGGGUGCGCAGGCGGUCUGUUAAGUCAGCGGUCAAAGCCCGGGGCUCAACCCCGGCCCGCCGUUGAAACUGGCAGUCUCGAGUUGGAGAGAAGUAUGCGGAAUGCGCGGUGUAGCGGUGAAAUGCAUAGAUAUCGCGCAGAACUCCGAUUGCGAAGGCAGCAUGCCGGCUCCACACUGACGCUGAGGCACGAAAGCGUGGGUAUCGAACAGGAUUAGAUACCCUGGUAGUCCACGCAGUAAACGAUG